GCCAGAUACUCUGGCUUAGCUAAAAAGCCAUGUAGGAUAUCUGGUCUUUGAAAACCAUUUUUGAGGCAUCUGAGGUUAAACUUGGAGAGAAACACUUGUAAUAUUUCAAUAUUAGUAGCAGUCUAUUGUAGCAUCAUGCUACAUGGGAAGAUUCUCUGGAGGGUCAUUCCUAGACUUGUGAAGUUAUCUUUUAAAGGUCAUCAUCUUUUCCAGCAACAUUGACGUGAUUUCAAAGGACCUGUGCAAG
rnacentral:lncRNA from 1 species